GAGUUUGAUCAUGGCUCAGAUUGAACGCUGGCGGCAGGCCUAACACAUGCAAGUCGAACGGUAACAGGAAGCAGCUUGCUGCUUCGCUGACGAGUGGCGGACGGGUGAGUAAUGUCUGGGAAGCUGCCUGAUGGAGGGGGAUAACUACUGGAAACGGUAGCUAAUACCGCAUAAUGUCGCAAGACCAAAGAGGGGGACCUUCGGGCCUCUUGCCAUCGGAUGUGCCCAGAUGGGAUUAGCUUGUUGGUGGGGUAACGGCUCACCAAGGCGACGAUCCCUAGCUGGUCUGAGAGGAUGACCAGCCACACUGGAACUGAGACACGGUCCAGACUCCUACGGGAGGCAGCAGUGGGGAAUAUUGCACAAUGGGCGCAAGCCUGAUGCAGCCAUGCCGCGUGUAUGAAGAAGGCCUUCGGGUUGUAAAGUACUUUCAGCGGGGAGGAAGGGAGUAAAGUUAAUACCUUUGCUCAUUGACGUUACCCGCAGAAGAAGCACCGGCUAACUCCGUGCCAGCAGCCGCGGUAAUACGGAGGGUGCAAGCGUUAAUCGGAAUCACUGGGCGUAAAGCGCACGCAGGCGGUUUGUUAAGUCAGAUGUGAAAUCCCCGGGCUCAACCUGGGAACUGCAUCUGAUACUGGCAAGCUUGAGUCUCGUAGAGGGGGGUAGAAUUCCAGGUGUAGCGGUGAAAUGCGUAGAGAUCUGGAGGAAUACCGGUGGCGAAGGCGGCCCCCUGGACGAAGACUGACGCACAGGUGCGAAAGCGUGGGGAGCAAACAGGAUUAGAUACCCUGGUAGUCCACGCCGUAAACGAUGUCGACUUGGAGGUUGUGCCCUUGAGGCGUGGCUUCCGGAGCUAACGCGUUAAGUCGACCGCCUGGGGAGUACGGCCGCAAGGUUAAAACUCAAAUGAAUUGACGGGGGCCCGCACAAGCGGUGGAGCAUGUGGUUUAAUUCGAUGCAACGCGAAGAACCUUACCUGGUCUUGACAUCCACGGAAGUUUUCAGAGAUGAGAAUGUGCCUUCGGGAACCGUGAGACAGGUGCUGCAUGGCUGUCGUCAGCUCGUGUUGUGAAAUGUUGGGUUAAGUCCCGCAACGAGCGCAACCCUUAUCCUUUGUUGCCAGCGGUCCGGCCGGGAACUCAAAGGAGACUGCCAGUGAUAAACUGGAGGAAGGUGGGGAUGACGUCAAGUCAUCAUGGCCCUUACGACCAGGGCUACACACGUGCUACAAUGGCGCAUACAAAGAGAAGCGACCUCGCGAGAGCAAGCGGACCUCAUAAAGUGCGUCGUAGUCCGGAUUGGAGUCUGCAACUCGACUCCAUGAAGUCGGAAUCGCUAGUAAUCGUGGAUCAGAAUGCCACGGUGAAUACGUUCCCGGGCCUUGUACACACCGCCCGUCACACCAUGGGAGUGGGUUGCAAAAGAAGUAGGUAGCUUAACCUUCGGGAGGGCGCUUACCACUUUGUGAUUCAUGACUGGGGUGAAGUCGUAACAAGGUA
rnacentral:rRNA from 1 species